rnacentral:lncRNA from 1 species
UCACUCAUCAUUUCUUCUUCCAUCUUUUAUUCACUCUCACCACAUUUGAGAGAGCAACACACGAGUUGAGAAAGUAAUUCAGAGGUUCUUAUGAGCAUCCAAAUUUGGCACCUUGAGAGUAGUUGUGCUAAGGAGAAAAGGAGAAGAAAGGAGGAAAAACAACAUGAGCAGUACCACAAAAAAUCACCGAAAUCGACUUCUAGUUUCUUUCACUUUAAUCUUUUAUUUUGUUCAAAGUUGAUAAACAUGAUUGUCAUUUACUCUUUUGCUUUCAAUUUAAUGAUAAUGACUUAAUUUUGUUGACGCUAGAUUGAUUGCAAACCCUUAACUUUUAUUAUUAA